GUAGUUAGCCGGGGCUUCCUCCUCGGGUACCGUCAUUUGUUUCGUCCCCAAGGACAGAGGUUUACAAUCCGAAGACCUUCUUCCCUCACGCGGCGUUGCUGGGUCAGGGUUUCCCCCAUUGCCCAAUAUUCCCCACUGCUGCCUCCCGUAGGAGUCUGGACCGUGUCUCAGUUCCAGUGUGGCCGAUCACCCUCUCAGGUCGGCUACCCAUCGCGGGCUUGGUGGGCCGUUACCUCACCAACUACCUAAUGGGACGCGAGCUCAUCCAUAAGCGAUAAAUCUUUGACCUCUCUAUCAUGCGAUAGCGUGGUCUUAUGCGGUAUUAGCAGCUGUUUCCGGCUGUUGUCCCCCACUUAUGGGCAGAUUGCUCACGCGUUACUCACCCGUCCGCCACUCAGUCAUCCGGUGCAAGCACCGGAGCUUCGUUCGACUUGCAUGUGUUAAGCACGCCGCCAGCGUUCGUCCUGAGCCAGGAUCAAACUCUGA
rnacentral:rRNA from 1 species